UUGGGUUUAUCAGGCUUCUUCAAGGGCACUGAACUUUCCCACAGCGCUCUGUCCUUUUCUGUCCCUUUGGGACUUUGCUGUUGCGUCAAGGCUCUGCUAUUCAUUCCGUGUACUUCCCACAGUAUUAUUGUACCACUGCAGCGGAGCAUGUUGUGGUGACUAUGACUAAACUAUCCACCAUGUGCCUGUUAGGAAUAAUGACUGUGUGUAUGACAACAUCUAUCAUUGUCUUUGUUGCAAAACGAGUUUGUCAUAGAUGAAGUUCAAGUUGAGCUCCUCUCGGCGAGCUGUUCUCUGAGGCAAGGCUUUGAAGUGGAUGAGGGAGGCGAGGCAUCGUGUGCCCAGAUGCCCAGACACUGUGGUUUUAAGGGGGCUUUAUCACACAGACAGGGGGGACAGCAAUCAUCUCCUGCCCUCCCAUCUUUCACCGUGGCGGGAGGCUGAAUGUGACAACCAAUGCUCCCCAGCUGCUCAGCGGCCAGAGUCCGCAAAACCACAGGCGGAUAAUGAAUGCCACACCAUCGUGACAACUUGCACUUUUAUGGAAAGGGGAGGAAGGACAACUCUGGCACAGACACUAACGGCAUAUGAUGAAACAUCCACCAUAAACCAGACAAUCAAAGAGAGGGCAUUGAAGCAUCCGAGGAAUCCAGGACGGGAACCUCGGCUGAUUUAUGACCACUACAAAAAUAAGGGGGCUGUUUCCAAGUAAAUGUGUUUAAAAAAAAAAAAGAAAUAUCACUUUCCAAAUGUAACCACAACAUCUGUAAACGAUGCGUUACAGUUGCAUUUAUCCAUGAUCUUCCCUACUUUCCUGAUCUGAAUAAGCCACACGCUAUCUAUGAACAAUUUCCCCCAACAUUUAGAGACUUGAGGUUUUCCAAUUGGGUCAGUAUUUUCUAUUCUUGGCUUGUCCUUCCUCUCGCAGUCACGAUAUUUUGUAUUCUAUACAUCACAGAAAUGUUUCAAUACACCCUUUUGCUUUCAAGGCAAACAUUACUAGAAAAGGAGUAGCUUUGAUCUUCUUCCAAUAGCAACCCUGAAAUAUCUUCUAAAUAAAAGGCGAUAUAAAUAUGCAUGUUCACUCA